rnacentral:lncRNA from 1 species
AUGCAGUAGAACGGCAAGUUUAACUGGUUGUCCUUAAUUCUGUUUGUUACUUUGUCCUCAGAAUUGCCAAGAGUUACCAAACAUCUCCUGAUCUGCGGCUGACCUGGCUCCAGAACAUGGCAGAGAAGCACACCAAGAAGAAGUGCUACACAGAGGCCGCCAUGUGCCUGGUGCACGCGGCCGCCCUGGUGGCCGAGUACCUGAGCAUGCUGGAGGACCACAGCUACCUGCCUGUGGGCAGCGUCAGCUUUCAGAGACAUAAUCUGGAGAGAUGACCGUCCCUGAAACUGAAUAUAGUUACAGUAAUAGAGCUCUUUUCAAGC